GACCCGGCGUCACCCUCCUCCGGGGGCCGGGCGCGCACACCAGCUCGGCCCGCGGAGCCGGGGGCACGGGCGUCCCCGCCGCCCGCAGGAGGAGCCCGAGCGACCGCAUCCUCCGGAGAGACGCCCCGGGCUCCGCAGCCGCCCUCCCCCUCCUCCGAGAGGCGAGAGGCAAGCGCCGCCCGUCCCCGCGCCCCGAGCCUCCACCUGCCGCGGACUCCCGGGCGGCCGGGCGCGGGGCAGAGAAGGUGCGAGAAACAGGGGCCCGGGAGACAGCGGCCCCCGGGGACCGCUCCGCGCGGAGAGGGGACGCCCUUCCACGCCGCCAGCCCCCGCGCGUCCGGCGCCCCGGCCCCGAGUUCAAGGGCCACCGCCCUCGGAGGGGGCUCUCCGCGCGGGGAGCGCCCCGGCCCCGCGGACCCCGGCCCGUCCCGGGGCUCCGGCGCCUCGCCCCCCCCACCCCCCCGCGGCGGGGCCAUGCCGGGGCUGCGCCGGGACCGCCUGCUGACCCUGCUGCUGCUGGGCGCGCUGCUGGCCGCCGACCUCUACUUCCACCUCGGGCCCCGGGUGCGGCGCCGGCUGCGGCCCCGGGAGCGCCCGCCCGGCUGCCCGUGCGCCCGCCGCGCCGCCCCCUCGGCCCCCCGGCCGGCCGCGCGCCACGUUCCCCCGGCCGAGCCGGACGGCGGCGGCCCCGGCUCCAAGCUGCGGGCCCUCUUCGCGCACCCGCUGUACAACGAGCCGGAGGAGCCGCCGCUGCUGGGGCCCGAGGACUCGCUCCUGGCCGGCCCCGAGGCGCUGCGCUAUUACCGGAGGAAGGUGGCCCGCUGGAACAGGCGACACAAGAUAUACAAGGAGCAGCUGAAUCUCACUUCCCUGGAUCCCCCGCUGCAGCUCCGCCUGGAGACCAGCUGGGUCCAGUUCCACCUGGGGAUCAGCCGCCACGGCCUGUACUCCCGGUCCAGUCCUGUCGUCAGCAAACUUCUCCACGACAUGAGGCACCUUCCCACCAUCAGCGCUGACUACAGUCAGGACGAGAAAGCCUUGCUUGGAGCCUGCGACUGCACCCAGAUCGUGAAGCCCAGUGGGGUCCACCUCAAACUGGUUCUGAGGUUCUCGGACUUCGGGAAGGCCAUGUUCAAACCUAUGAGACAGCUGCGAGAUGAAGAGACGCCCGAGGACUUCUUCUACUUCAUUGAUUUUCAGAGACACAACGCUGAGAUUGCAGCUUUCCACCUGGACAGGAUUCUGGACUUCCGACGGGUACCACCGACCGUAGGGAGGCUAGUCAAUGUCACCAAGGAAAUCCUGGAGGUCACCAAGAAUGAAAUCCUGCAGAGUGUUUUCUUUAUCUCUCCAGCCAGCAACGUGUGUUUCUUCGCCAAGUGCCCGUACCUGUGCAAGACGGAGUACGCCGUGUGCGGCAACCCGCACCUGCUGGAGGGCUCGCUGUCCGCGUUCCUGCCGUCCCUCAACCUGGCCCCCCGGCUGUCCGUCCCCAGCCCCUGGAUCCGCUCCUACUCGCUGGCGGGCAAAGAGGAGUGGGAGGUCAACCCUCUUUACUGCGACACGGUGAAGCAGGUCUACCCGCACAGCAGCAGCGGCCGUCUCCUCAACAUCAUCGACAUGGCCAUCUUCGACUUCCUGACGGGAAACAUGGACCGGCACCACUACGAGACGUUCAGCAAAUUUGGGGACGACGGCUUCCUGAUUCACCUGGACAACGCCAGGGGGUUCGGACGGCACUCCCACGACGAAAUCUCCAUCCUCUCGCCGCUCUCGCAGUGCUGCCGGUUAGAGGAAGUACUCAGGCCCCUGCCUGGCCAACACUUCUCCAGAGAAUCUCUGCCCUGCUUCUACACCUCUCCGGUGUUGCAGCCGAGCUGGUCAAGAUGGCCCACCUGCACAGCUGCAGGGUCCGGAGCUAAUUAGAAAUAUGUGGUCCACACGUAGCAGAAUGGUCUCUAUUUCCAGCUGGAAAACUCAGAGCAGAGCCUGAACUUCCUUUCUCCACUUCUUGGGGUAACUGACGUGUGCCUCCCUCCCUACCCCCUUCCUCUCCUCCCGAGUAGGAAAGGCAGGAGUUGUGUAUGACGAUGCGUGGACACCUAAGCUGCUUGCACAUCUGAGUCCAAGUCACAUUCCCACAUAAAAAGAAAUCAAACUCCUAAAGGCAAGGUUGGCCCUCCCCCACUUCCAGCCCUGAUUUUAGAAUCUGACACAGAGAAAUCAGAAUUACAAAGUCGAGCAGAAACAACUUGGAGCCCAGCGGUACCCGCGGCCUCUGAGACGGCACACAUCACCAUUUCACCUACUGGAAGCUUCUCUCGUUAGCUUUCAGUGUCCUUGAGAAGUCACUAUUACAUGGCACUUCCGUCCGGGUUCCCCGAGGAGCAUCCGAUGCUGUGGCGUCACAGCUGUUAGAGCACAGAUGCUUGGCGGGGCGACUUGGCCAAGGACCGCGAAGUCCUAGCCGUCACCCUUCAUCCACUCCCUUCUUACCGGGUUUGCACUAAAACGCGCCUGAGAAGACACUGGGGGCCAAGGCUGUCCAGACGUCAGCCCCCAGCACUGUCGGCGGGGAAGGAACUGCUGGCCCGAGCCGACUACAGACUCAGCGACGUAAUGAGGGAGUCGCUGCUGCAAGACCAGCUCACCCCUGUGCUCACAGAGCCGCA